ACAACGGAUCUCUUGGCUCUCGCAUCGAUGAAGAACGCAGCGAAAUGCGAUAAGUAAUGUGAAUUGCAGAAUUCAGUGAAUCAUCGAAUCUUUGAACGCACCUUGCGCCCUUUGGUAUUCCGAAGGGCACGCCUGUUUGAGUGUCAUGUUCAUCUCAAUCCUUCCGCUUUUUAAUUAAGGCUGCUUGGAUUGGAUUUGGGAGUCUGCUGGCCUGAAAGGGUCUGCUCUCCUUGAAUGCAUGAGUGAGCGUCUGGCUCGCGUUGCUGGUGUGAUAGUCUUUCAUCAUUAGCGGCGCUUGCCUAAAGGGCUUGCUUUCGAACCGUCUUCUCAACGGAGACACUAUAAUUGACCAAUUUGACCUCAAAUCAGGUGGGACU
rnacentral:rRNA from 1 species